rnacentral:rRNA from 1 species
CGGAGGGUGCAAGCGUUGUCCGGAUUUAUUGGGUUUAAAGGGUGCGUAGGCGGCUCUUUAAGUCAGUGGUGAAAGACCCCGGCUCAACCGGGGCAGUGCCAUUGAUACUGGGGAGCUUGAGUGUUGGAGGGGUACAUGGAAUUGAUGGUGUAGCGGUGAAAUGCAUAGAUACCAUCAGGAACACCGAUAGCGAAGGCAUUGUACUGGCCAACAACUGACGCUGAGGCACGAAAGCAUGGGUAGCGAACAGGAUU